rnacentral:rRNA from 1 species
AACACAUGCAAGUCGAGCGCGAAAACACUUCGGUGUGAGUAGAGCGGCGGACGGGUGAGUAAUGCUUGGGAAUCUGCCCAGUAGUGGGGGAUAACGUGUGGAAACGCACGCUAAUACCGCAUACGUCCUACGGGAGAAAGCAGGGGAUCUUCGGACCUUGCGCUAUUGGAUGAGCCCAAGUCGGAUUAGCUAGUUGGUGGGGUAAUGGCCUACCAAGGCGACGAUCCGUAGCUGGUCUGAGAGGAUGAUCAGCCACACUGGGACUGAGACACGGCCCAGACUCCUACGGGAGGCAGCAGUGGGGAAUAUUGCACAAUGGGCGAAAGCCUGAUGCAGCCAUGCCGCGUGUGUGAAGAAGGCUCUAGGGUUGUAAAGCACUUUCAGUAGGGAGGAAAAGCUUAAGGUUAAUAACCUUGAGCCCUGACGUUACCUACAGAAGAAGCACCGGCAAACUCCGUGCCAGCAGCCGCGGUAAUACGGAGGGUGCGAGCGUUAAUCGGAAUUACUGGGCGUAAAGCGCGCGUAGGUGGUUUGAUAAGCUAGCUGUGAAAGCCCCGGGCUCAACCUGGGAACUGCAGUUAGAACUGUCUGACUAGAGUACAGUAGAGGGUGGCGGAAUUUCCUGUGUAGCGGUGAAAUGCGUAGAUAUAGGAAGGAACAUCAGUGGCGAAGGCGGCCACCUGGACUGAUACUGA